GGCCUUUCAGCCAUCUUGGAAUUUGUAUGUAAACAAUCUGCAAUAUUUUGCAAUAUCUUUUUUUUGCUCUUUGUGUGUGGAAUUGUAUUGGUGGGAAUAAGAGCAUUGAAAAGUUGAAAGCUCAAGAGAAUAAAUCGACUCUCAGUGUCGGUUGGUGAUGGAGAUAUUUUACCCGCGUUUUGCAGCUAGAGACGUCGGUUAAUCGUUCGAUUAAUUCAAAUAAUCGAAUAUCUGUAACAGUAAUUUUAUACCAAAUAAUGAAAAAUCAAG